rnacentral:rRNA from 1 species
AUUGAACGCUGGCGGCAGGCCUAACACAUGCAAGUCGAGCGGUAGAGGGGUGCUUGCAUCUCUUGAGAGCGGCGGACGGGUGAGUAAUGCCUAGGAAUCUGCCUGGUGGUGGGGGAUAACGUUCGGAAACGGACGCUAAUACCGCAUACGUCCUACGGGAGAAAGCGGGGGAUCUUCGGACCUCGCGCCAUUAGAUGAGCCUAGGUCGGAUUAGCUAGUUGGUGAGGUAAUGGCUCACCAAGGCGACGAUCCGUAACUGGUCUGAGAGGAUGAUCAGUCACACUGGAACUGAGACACGGUCCAGACUCCUACGGGAGGCAGCAGUGGGGAAUAUUGGACAAUGGGCGAAAGCCUGAUCCAGCCAUGCCGCGUGUGUGAAGAAGGUCUUCGGAUUGUAAAGCACUUUAAGUUGGGAGGAAGGGUCGUAACCUAAUACGUUACGGCUUUGACGUUACCGACAGAAUAAGCACCGGCUAACUUCGUGCCAGCCGCCGCCGUAAUAC